rnacentral:rRNA from 1 species
CCAUGCAUGUAUAAGUAUAAACGCUUUGAGCGUGAAACUGCGUACGGCUCAUUACAACAGCAAUAAUUUACUUGAUCUUGACUCACCUACAUGGAUAACUGUGGUAAUUCUAGAGCUAAUACAUGCACCAAAGCUCCGACCCGCGAGGGGAGAGCGCAUUUAUUAGAACAAAACCAAGCGGCUUCGGCCGUCCAUUGUUGACUCAGAAUAACUAAGCUGAUCGUACGGUCUUGUACCGACGACGUGUCUUUCAAGUUUCUGCCUUAUCAACUUUCGAUGGUAGUGUAUCUGACUACCAUGGUGGUGACGGGUAACGGAGGAUAAGGGUUCGACUCCGGAGAAGGGGCCUGAGAAAUGGCCACUACGUCUAAGGAUGGCAGCAGGCGCGCAAAUUACCCACUCUCAAUGCGAGGAGGUAGUGACGAGAAAUAACGAGGCCGUUCUCUUUGAGGCCGGUCAUCGGAAUGGGUACAAUUUAAACCCUUUAACGAGUAUCUAUGAGAGGGCAAGUCUGGUGCCAGCAGCCGCGGUAAUUCCAGCUCUCAAAAUGCAUAGAAUUAUUGCUGCGGUUAAAAAGCUCGUAGUUGGAUCUGUGCUUGUGCCUCGGUCCACCUAACGGUGCGCACUGAGUGUCGCAGGCUUUCCUGCAGUGUUCAGCCCCGGGGCCUUCACCGGCUCUGGUGUGUUGAUGCUGCAAGUUUACUUUGAACAAAUCGGAGUGCUCCAAACAGGCGUUUUUGCUUGAACGUUCGUGCAUGGAAUAAUAGAAGAGGAUUUCGGUUCAAUUUUAUUGGUUUUAUUGGCCGAGAUAAUGGUUAACAGAGACAAACGGGGGCAUUUGUAUUGCUACGU